rfam:Tolypothrix sp. PCC 7601 strain TTEX B 481 genomic scaffold FDTTEX481_Contig4, whole genome shotgun sequence.
UUGUGUGUGAGGAGCAAGUUGAAAAGAAAAAACGCCUGGGGUGGAAACACGGCAACACUCCCGGGCGUUUUUUCAU